ACUGGCUGUCACCAAACUCUGGAAGGUGUCACCAAUGGCCUCCUUCUCCUUGUAAGAGACAGCUCCAAAGAAUAAGGAGUGGAACUGGAAAAUGCAAUAUUUGUACAGGUUAAAAAUGGCUCUGGUUUGAAAUGAAAUCUGCCCUAAUCUGCAGUCAGAGUUCACUGGGUGACUGCAGGGGUCCCACCAGGGCAGCUCCCAAACGCACCUCCCACAUCUGUCGAAGUGGAUGGACACAGGAACGCUCGCGGCCUCGGAAAACGCCAGCAGCCCCUGCAAGAAGGGUGGGGGUGAAGUGUUUGUUAAACCCAGACAUGAAUAUUGGAAUAUCUGCUUCUUCCACAGGCAUCCAUCACAAAUAAUAUUCCCAGCUGUCUGUUGUUGCAUGGAUGGGAAGCCCAAAAUGCAGCGUGACUUUAGGAGAUUAAUCAAAAUUGCUGACAAUCACCAGAGCACAAUGGAAGUGGACUGAGGCUCUUUGUUUUAAAUCACAACCUUUUCCUGACAGGAAAUUGGCUGUUCAGUCUCAGGGAAGGGAUAACUGCUUCUCCUUCUGACAGGGCUGGGACACGGCUGUCCAGCAGUAAUGUUGGAAAAACAUGGAUGAGAAGAAC